CAUGGUUCCCCUCCCCCAGUUACUCAGUGCUUGGCACUCGGCACCCCUUACUCAGCACUCAGUACCGCACUCGGCCUCAGGGGACCUGGGCAGAGGGAAGCAGGGAGUCUCCCGCGGAAACUCUUGCUCUGCCAAAGUGUGAUGUGAUCUGACUGCUGCUCAGGGCCUGGACAGCAAAUGAGGAAGACUUAUUGCAGAAAUUCAGAGCCUAGUGACCUGGACCAGGGUGGAGGCAGCAGAGGAGGGCUACUACCUACUCAGCAUCGCUCAGGGCACUGCAUUACGCCUUCCAGGCAAUUAUACAAGGGAAACAGAUGAUCAAGACUCUGCUAGCAGGAGAAAAAGAGAGAAAAGAGAGAUGAAAAAGUCUUGUGUGACCAGAAGCUUAUCAACCUUGUGUGCUGUUG
rnacentral:lncRNA from 10 species